UACGUAGGGUGCAAGCGUUAAUCGGAAUUACUGGGCGUAAAGCGUGCGCAGGCGGUGAUGUAAGACAGAUGUGAAAUCCCCGGGCUCAACCUGGGAACUGCAUUCGAGACUGAAUAGCUAGGGUACGGUAGAGGGAAGUGGAAUUUCCGGUGUAGCGGUGAAAUGCGUAGAUAUCGGGAGGAACACCAGAGGCGAAGGCGGCGACCUGGACAGAUACUGACACUGAACUACGAAAGCGUGGGGAGCAAACAGGG
rnacentral:rRNA from 1 species